GGGGAAGGUGCGCGCCCCCCCGCCGCCUUCUAGGCUGGUUACCUGUGGCGCCGAGCAGGAAGUCCAGGGUGCUGUGCCGCGCUGCUGCUGCUGCCAUAGUGAGGCCAAACAACUCCAGCUUCCUCUGCUGUUCCUCACCAAACUUGUGCUCCAGACCCUUCCCCAGCUCCAUCGUCCUUCUCUGGACUCGCUUCAGGCCCUCAAUGUCCUUCCUGAACUGAGGGGCCCAGAACUGGACACAGGACUCCAGGUGUGGCCUCACCAGUGCUAAGAACAGGAGAAGAUGUUUGGCUGUGUCGGUUACUAGGAGCUUUGCCAGCUGGCAAAUUCCUUUAAUUCUAUUGCAUGAAUGAGAGUGGAUUUUCACAAUACCGUGGCAUCAAUGGUUCCACAUGAUUCCACAAUUAAAUGAAGAGAUUUACAAAUAUAUUUCCACACAAGCACCCUGAGCAAAUCAGAAACAUUCACUGGAAAUGUGCAUCAGAAGAUAUACAGACAUCUGCAGACAUGCAACUGCCACAAGACAGCCAGUAAAAUCCCUGCUCUUUAAAAUCUCAUACAUCUCUCACCUUUGCUUGUGGCUGCUGCAGUGAUUUCAGUUACCUCAUUCCACAAAGGAGCUUAUUGGAUUGAUUUUUACUCUCUUCAGUGGGAGCAAUACCUUGUGUUCUGUUCAACCUAUUACAUUGUCUUUCCAUUGUGGAAUAAUUGGAAGAAGGUAAUAGUGAUGCUGCCACCUAAGUAUCUUCAAAUGUGUUUGUUCAUACGUGCCAAGUGCCUUGCUAAAUUAUGCCCUUACAUACACAUGAACAACUUUCCUGGUUUACAGGGGAAAAAAAGGAACAUCAGUAUGUCAUCCAAAUCUUUUCCUGGCAUUAGUUUUGCAAUUUAUGGCCAACCAUUUCAGACUGGCACUUAGAGAAAGUUGAAACAUCAUCUUUUUAAUUAAAUUUGCCAUGGAAAAAAGAACAGUGGUCUUACUGUGUCCUUUUUUAUAUGAUGAGAAUUUUAUGGUUUCAUAGUGGGCUGAA